GACGAACCGUACGAACGUUAUUCGGAAUUACUGGGCUUAAAGGGUGCGUAGGCGGCGCGGAAAGUAGGGUGUGAAAUCCCUCGGCUCAACCGAGGAACUGCGCUCUAAACUACCGUGCUCGAGGGAGAUAGAGGUGAGCGGAACUGAGGGUGGAGCGGUGAAAUGCGUUGAUAUCCUAAGGAACACCGGUGGCGAAAGCGGCUCACUGGACCUCUUCUGACGCUGAGGCACGAAAGCUAGGGUAGCGAACGGG
rnacentral:rRNA from 1 species